rnacentral:RNase_P_RNA from 1 species
CAAGUAGGACAAAUGAUCGCGGCUGCUUUAUAGCAGAUGAGGAAAGUCCGGGCUUCACAGGGCAGGAUGCCGGAUAACGUCCGGUGGAGGCGACUCCAAGGCUAGUGCAACAGAAAUAAACCGCCCGAGGCUCUAAGCUGAGGCUUUGCCGAAGCCCAGAGUCUUGUGGUAAGGGUGGAAAGGCAGUGUAAGAGACUACCGCCUGUACGGUAACGGACAGGGCACAUGUAAACCCCAUCCGAAGCAAGACCAAACAGAAAGCGCUUUUAGCUUGCCCGGCGAGCUUUCAGGUGGGUCGCUUGAGACUGUUGGUGACGGCAGUCCUAGAUAGAUGAUCAUUCGACGACAUAACCCGGCUUAUCGUCCUGCUUGAUUU